AACGAACGCUGGCGGCAUGCCUAACACAUGCAAGUCGAACGAGACCUUCGGGUCUAGUGGCGCACGGGUGCGUAACGCGUGGGAACCUGCCCUUAGGUUCGGAAUAACUCCCCGAAAGGGGUGCUAAUACCGGUUAAUGUCUUCGGACCAAAGAUUUAUCGCCUUUGGAUGGGCCCGCGUUGGAUUAGCUAGUUGGCAGGGUAAAAGCCUACCAAGGCGACGAUCCAUAGCUGGUCUGAGAGGAUGAUCAGCCACACUGGGACUGAGACACGGCCCAGACUCCUACGGGAGGCAGCAGUGGGGAAUAUUGGACAAUGGGCGAAAGCCUGAUCCAACAAUGCCGCGUGAGUGAUGAAGGCCUUAGGGUUGUAAAGCUCUUUUACCCGGGAUGAUAAUGACAGUACCGGGAGAAUAAGCUCCGGCUAACUCCGUG
rnacentral:rRNA from 1 species